GCGUACCUUUUGUAUAAUGGGUCAGCGACUUACAUUCAGUGGCGAGCUUAACCGAAUAGGGGAGGCGUAGAGAAAUCGAGUCCGAACAGGGCGAUUCAGUCGCUGGGUGUAGACCCGAAACCAAGUGAUCUAUCCAUGGCCAGGAUGAAGGUGCCGUAACAGGUACUGGAGGUCCGAACCGACUGGUGUUGCAAAACCAGCGGAUGAGCUGUGGAUAGGGGUGAAAGGCUAAACAAACUUGGAAAUAGCUGGUUCUCUCCGAAAACUAUUUAGGUAGUGCCUCAAGUAUUACCUGCGGGGGUAGAGCACUGUUUUGGCUAGGGGGUCAUGGCGACUUACCAAACCAAGGCAAACUCCGAAUACUGCAGAGUACAGCUUGGGAGACAGAGCACCGGGUGCUAACGUCCGGACUCAAGAGGGAAACAACCCAGACCGCCAGCUAAGGUCCCUAAAAUUGGCUAAGUGGGAAACGAAGUGGGAAGGCAUAGACAGUCAGGAGGUUGGCUUAGAAGCAGCCAUCCUUUAAAGAAAGCGUAAUAGCUCACUGAUCGAGUCGUCCUGCGCGGAAGAUGUAACGGGGCUAAGCCAGUUACCGAAGCUGCGGAUGCACAGUUUACUGUGCGUGGUAGGAGAGCGUUGUGUAAGCCUGUGAAGGUGUCUGGUAACGGAUGCUGGAGGUAUCACAAGUGCGAAUGCUGACAUGAGUAGCGUUAAAGCGGGUGAAAAGCCCGCUCGCCGUAAGCGCAAGGUUUCCUACGCAACGUUCAUCGGCGUAGGGUGAGUCGGCCCCUAAGGCGAGGCAGAGAUGCGUAGCUGAUGGGAAACAGGUCAAUAUUCCUGUACCGAUCAAUAGUGCGAUGUGGGGACGGAGAAGGUUAGCUCAGCCAACUGUUGGAAUAGGUGGUUCAAGCCUGUAGUCGUGCCUGGUAGGCAAAUCCGCCGGGCUGAGAUGAGGGGUGAUAACGAGUCUGCUUGCAGACGAAGUGAGUGAUACCCUGCUUCCAGGAAAAGCCACUAAGCUUCAGCUAUUGACGACCGUACCGCAAACCGACACUGGUGCGCGAGAUGAGUAUUCUAAGGCGCUUGAGAGAACUCAGGAGAAGGAACUCGGCAAAUUGAUACCGUAACUUCGGGAGAAGGUAUGCCCUGAUUAGGUGAACUUGUACAAAGGGAGCCGAAAGGGGUUGCAAAAAAUCGGUGGCUGCGACUGUUUAAUAAAAACACAGCACUCUGCAAACACGAAAGUGGACGUAUAGGGUGUGACGCCUGCCCGGUGCUGGAAGAUUAAAUGAUGGGGUGCAAGCUCUUGAUUGAAGUCCCAGUAAACGGCGGCCGUAACUAUAACGGUCCUAAGGUAGCGAAAUUCCUUGUCGGGUAAGUUCCGACCUGCACGAAUGGCGUAACGAUGGCCACACUGUCUCCUCCUGAGACUCAGCGAAGUUGAAAUGUUUGUGAUGAUGCAAUCUCCCCGCGGAAAGACGGAAAGACCCCAUGAACCUUUACUGUAGCUUUGUAUUGGACUUUGAACGGAUCUGUGUAGGAUAGGUGGGAGGCUUUGAAGUGUGGUCGCUAGAUCACAUGGAGCCAACGUUGAAAUACCACCCUGGUGCGUUUGAGGUUCUAACCCAGGUCCCUUAUCGGGAUCGGGGACAGUGCAUGGUAGGCAGUUUGACUGGGGCGGUCUCCUCCCAAAGCGUAACGGAGGAGUUCGAAGGUACGCUAGUUACGGUCGGACAUCGUGACGAUAGUGCAAUGGCAUAAGCGUGCUUAACUGCGAGACUGACAAGUCGAGCAGAUGCGAAAGCAGGACAUAGUGAUCCGGUGGUUCUGUAUGGAAGGGCCAUCGCUCAACGGAUAAAA
rnacentral:rRNA from 1 species